CCUUGGCGGUGCGCCUUGCCCUGCCUUCCAGCGGCAGGGGCGUUUAACGACAGGCACCCCCCUGAAACAACUUCUGGCUCUCGUUGUCAUCUCCUGGAAGAAAUCCUUUAAUCCUCUUCUGGGAGACUUUCCAACCUUAUGCGUACCUCGAAUCCCUGCUGUGAAAGCCUUUGGGGAAAAGCCUUUUGGUUUUGUGUAUGUAAUGUAAAGAAGGAAGAACACGGGUAUCAGGCGUGUUUGGUUUCCUUUUGUUCACUUGUAAGGUUCAGGACUUGCGGAAGAACACGUAGCUAAACCUGUA